rnacentral:rRNA from 1 species
GAUGAACGCUGGCGGCGUGCCUAAUACAUGCAAGUCGAGCGAACAGACGAGGAGCUUGCUCCUCUGACGUUAGCGGUGGACGGGUGAGUAACACGUGGAUAACCUACCUAUAAGACUGGGAUAACUUCGGGAAACCGGAGCUAAUACCGGAUAACAUGUUGAACCGCAUGGUUCGACAGUGAAAGACGGUCUUGCUGUCACUUAUAGAUGGAUCCGCGCCGCAUUAGCUAGUUGGUAAGGUAACGGCUUACCAAGGCAACGAUGCGUAGCCGACCUGAGAGGGUGAUCGGCCACACUGGAACUGAGACACGGUCCAGACUCCUACGGGAGGCAGCAGUAGGGAAUCUUCCGCAAUGGGCGAAAGCCUGACGGAGCAACGCCGCGUGAGUGAAGAAGGUCUUCGGAUCGUAAAACUCUGUUAUUAGGGAAGAACAAAUGUGUAAGUAACUAUGCACGUCUUGACGGUACCUAAUCAGAAAGCCACGGCUAACUACGUG